UACGUAGGGGGCUAGCGUUGUCCGGAUUUAUUGGGCGUAAAGAGCGUGUAGGCGGCCAGGUAGGUCCGUUGUGAAAACUCGAGGCUCAACCUCGAGACGUCGGCGGAAACCAUCUGGCUAGAGUCCGGAAGAGGAGAGUGGAAUUCCUGGUGUAGCGGUGAAAUGCGCAGAUAUCAGGAGGAACACCAACAGCGAAGGCAGAUCUCUGGGACGUAACUGACGCUGAGACGCGAAAGCGUGGGGAGCAAACAGG
rnacentral:rRNA from 1 species